rnacentral:rRNA from 1 species
UACGAAGGGGGCUAGCGUUGUUCGGAAUUACUGGGCGUAAAGCGCACGUAGGCGGAUAUUUAAGUCAGGGGUGAAAUCCCAGAGCUCAACUCUGGAACUGCCUUUGAUACUGGGUAUCUCGAGUAUGGAAGAGGUGAGUGGAAUUCCGAGUGUAGAGGUGAAAUUCGUAGAUAUUCGGAAGAACACCAGUGGCGAAGGCGGCUCACUGGCCCGGUACUGACGCUGAGGUGCGAAAGCGUGGGGAGCAAACAGG